CACGGGUGCGUAACGCGUGGGAAUCUGCCCUUGGGUUCGGAAUAACAGCUAGAAAUGGCUGCUAAUACCGGAUGAUGACGUAAGUCCAAAGAUUUAUCGCCCAAGGAUGAGCCCGCGUAGGAUUAGCUAGUUGGUGAGGUAAAGGCUCACCAAGGCGACGAUCCUUAGCUGGUCUGAGAGGAUGAUCAGCCACACUGGGACUGAGACACGGCCCAGACUCCUACGGGAGGCAGCAGUGGGGAAUAUUGGACAAUGGGCGAAAGCCUGAUCCAGCAAUGCCGCGUGAGUGAUGAAGGCCUUAGGGUUGUAAAGCUCUUUUACCCGGGAUGAUAAUGACAGUACCGGGAGAAUAAGCUCCGGCUAACUCCGUGCCAGCAGCCGCGGUAAU
rnacentral:rRNA from 1 species